GCUGUCCAAAAACCGGCUUGGUCAGGCAUGUGCUGCUAAACUAGCUCAAGUCCUUCCGUUACUGCCACAACUUACAGAACUCAAUUUGUCAGAGAAUCAUUUUGGGCCACAUGGAUCCUUGGUUCUUAGUGUCAAGGUCUGAUGAGCAUGAAGGCACUGAAAACACUACAUUUGACUUCAAUUGGGAGUUCAGAUCUGGUUGGUGUGGCCUCAUCCCUCAAACACUGUCCAUCCAUAGAGGACAUCAGGUGGGAUAAGACAUUUCAGACUUUUUUUAAUGCUGCAGUUGGACUGAUAAAUGCAUUGUCCCGGUCCCUGUGUUGUGUGUGUGUUGCCAUUAGAAAAAUACUUGAGUAAGUGCUUGAGUGCUUGCUGUGAAGGUUUAGCUAUUACUGCGAUUACAAAAUGCUGAUGUCAUUAAAAGUAAUGAUUGCAUCUUGGAAGCCAAUAAUAUAACUACAGCAGGAGCCACAGUGAUAGCCACAUGCCUCCCAUUAUGCCCCUCCGUUGAAGUAAUAAGGUUUGACUAGUACAUACACUCUUGUUCAGAAAAUGUGUGAUUUAAUAUGAAUAGUAGAACUGCUUGACAUGCAUAUAAAAAGUUGAGCUUCUCUUUAUUUUACACAGACUCUGGAGGAACCCAAUUGCCAAAGAAGAUGAGAAUCUGAAAGAUCAGAGACUUAAUUUUUCAUCAUUUUAAUUACUUAUGUUUUCAUUUUGUAUUUUUUCCCCCAUAUAUUGUAAACAAUAUUGUUGUAGUACUAUUACUGGAUUGUAAUGUCUAGUUAUUUAAUCAGGGAACACAUUACCUUAUUAGAGCAAUUCAUUACACCAAACAACACAGUUUCCAGUUGUUCAGGGACUUGAAUCAAUUAAUGUCCAUCUAAUGAUAACAGUAGGCUCUGUUUAAUAAAGAGAAAGAGCAGGCAACAAACUAUGGCAUAAAAAAAAAUCAAUUUGAUUACCUUAACAAGAGAUUUACAUUUUCUGCAGAUUUUCUAAAUUGGAAGAAUUAGAAACAAUGAAAAUGUGACUAAUUAGCACAGGCAGCUCUCUUGUAAAGUUCAGCACACUCAUGCUCUUUGUUAUGCACUGACAUAAGAGCCCAGACCUCCAUUAGGGGCAUUCAUGCAAUGAUCAACCCUGGACAUCACCAUGUUGUGUUAACUGUUAGCUAUAAAUUGUUUUAUUUUAAUUUAUUUUUUUGUUGUGUGCUAAACUCUGUGUUAUCUGUAAAAUGAAAUUGCCCAGUGCUUGUGUCACAGGGAAAAGCACAAACAUCCUCUCUGAUAGCUGCACUGAUACAUUUGCAUUAUGUUCAUCUUCUGUGUUUUU